AUUAUACAUGUAUAUUCAAUGGUUGAUCGUGGGGCCAAUGUCCGGUGUGAAAUAGCAUCGGGAUCGUAAUACUGGAACGCCAUUUGUGUGACGUCCGUGGCGGGAAAUGAGAGGUUGUUCAGGGCUAGUGAGACGAAGUUUAAUCAGCCACAUGAUACUAUUUAUAGGAUGCUGUCUGGUCAUCAACAGAGAGUUUUGAGGCUGUAUUUCUACCAAUCACCACUGUAACCUUUGUUAUGUUUAGCAGACAGGUGCAUGUGAUGCAACUUCCUGGAUGGUGUGCAGGCUGUUCGUCAACAUCUGAAACCCACGUGUAUUUCAGGAUGAUGAACCACUCUACUUCCUUUGAAAACGGGUGUCCAUACAGAUUCACAAAGUUCCAAUGUUGAGUAUACAUGAAUUAGCUUGAACCAAUAAGUGCAGUUUUAUGUAUUCUACUUUCAAAAAAUUCUAGUAAAUGCAUAUAAUACAUUUUGAUGUUGAUUUUAAAUAUAUGGUCCAUUUUACUGUUUUAGAUUAUGAUAUUUCAAUUCUAUCGAGUCAUUUUUUGGUCCAAAAGAAAUUUUUUUUUUACAGUCUCUUAACAAACAUAAGUGUUCCUUAUCCAUGAUUAUUAUGUUUGAAUCAAAGUCAGUAGGCACCACUGAAGUUUUCUACUUCUUUUCAGCCCAUGACAGGAAAAACUGUCAAGUUGACAGGACUUUCCACACUGUUCCAGGUAUCAGUUUAGAAAGGAACAGUCAGCAGUAGACAUAGCCAGCUUCAUCAAA